AUAGAGAGAGAGAGAGACAGAGAGAGAAAGAGAGAAAGAGAGGAAGUUGUGUGGUGAGAAUAAUAAAACAACACAAUGCCUGUUGUUGUUCUCGACGUUGUUGUUAUUGUUGAGGUCAUUCUUAUCGUCGUCGCAUCGUCGUCGUUGCUGACGUCAUUGCUGCUGCUAUUGUUGUUCCAGCCGUGACGUUCCCGUCUGUUAUUUCACACAAAUCGCAUCUCGGACUAAGUUUCUUCUUCAACGUGUCCUUACUCUUUACUCUUUUCUCUCUUUUACUUGUUUCAGUCAUUUGACUUGCGGCCAUGCUGGAGCACCGCCUUUAAUCGAGCAACUCGACCCCCGGGACUUAUUCUUUUGUAAGCCCAGUACUUAUUCUACCGGUCUCUUUUGGCGAACCGCUAAGUAACGGGGACACAAACACACCAGCAUCGGUUGUCAAGGAAUGCUAGGGGGACAAACACAGACACACAAACGCACACACGCAUAUAUAUAUAUAUAUAUAUAUAUAUAUAUAUAUACACAUACAUAUAUACGACGGGCUUCUUUUCAGUUUCCAUUUACCAAAUCCACUCACAAGGCUUUUGUCGACCCGAGGCUAUAGUAGAUAACACUUGCCCAAGGUGCCAUGCAGUGGUAUCUGAACCCGGAACCAUGUGAUUGGUAAGCAAGCUACUUACCACACAGCCACUCCUGCGCCUAUCCCUUUUUUUCCUUUCUUUUUUGUUUGGCUGCUAUAUUUAGCACAUCUGGCGCUCGCCCAGAGGUUUACUCUGUUGGUUCGGUUCUAUUUCCUGUUGUUGUUGUUGUUGUUGCUAAAGGUGUUCUUUAGCCCCAGGUCAGUCCUGAUGCGGCAAGCAAUGAUCCAAAGUGCUAUUUCAAUCUCAAAGUCUGUAGAGUUCAUCGUUUACAUUUUUCAAUCGUUGGACUGCGGCCAUGCUGGGGCACCGCCUUGAACAGUUUCACUCGAACAAAUCGAACCCACAAACACAAAAUUAUCACUCGGACGUAACCAAACGAACAUCGGUUGUCAAGUAAUAGGAGUGGGACAAACAUCGACUCAAACACACACACACACACACACAUAUAUAUAAUUAUAUAUAAAUAGAUAUAGAACGAGCUUCUGCACAGUUUCCGUCCACCAAAUUCAUUUACAUAACUUUGGUCGGCCCAUUCUAUAGUAGGGCACUCUUUCAUGAGGUGCCGUGCAGUGGAACUGAACCUGAAUUUAUGCCAUUGCAAAUCAUGUUUCUUAACCUAGCUGUGAUUUUUGUUUUGUUUUUGUUGGGUUUUUUCUAUCUUUCUUUACAGUUUUUUUCUUUUUUUUUUCAAGGCCACGUUCUCGUCUAUUGAAUGAUAUCAUCAAUAACCUGGUAUUCACUUCUGUUUCUGUGAAGUGCCCCAGAUAAUUCUUUACUUCCUCUGCCAUUUUUAUUGUUAUUAUUACAGGUGAGCUGGCAGAAAUGUUAGCACGCCGGGCGAAAUGCUUAGCGGUAUAUCGUCUGCCGCUACGUUCUGAGUUCAAAUUCCGCCGAAGUCGACUUUGCCUUUCAUCGUUUCGGGGUCGAUUAAAUAAGUACCAGUUACGCACUGGUGUCGAUAUAAUCGACUUAAGCCGUUUGUCUGUCAUUGUUUGUCCCUUCUGUGUGUAGCCCCUUGUGGGUAGUAAAGAAAUAGGUAUUUCGUCUGCCGCUACGUUCUGAGUUCAAAUUCCGCCGGGGUCGACUUUGCCUUUCAUCGUUUCGGGAUCGAUAAGUUAAGUACCAGUUACGCAAUUGGGUCGAUAUAAUUGACUUAAUCCGUUUAUCUGUCCUUGUUUGUCCUCUCUGUCUUUAGCCCCUUGUGGGUAGUAAAGAAAUAGGUAUUUCGUCUGCCGCUACGUUCUGAGUUCAAAUUCCGCCGGGGUCGACUUUGCCUUUCAUCCUUUCGGGAUCGAUAAAUUAAGUACCAGUCUGGUGGUCAAGAACAUGUCUAGAAAAUUUUCGUUGACGUCUUAUAUAUAAACAUACAAACAUGCAUACUUACAUACAUAAGUACAUGUAUGUAUGUAUGUAUGUAUGUAUGUAUGUAUGUAUGUAUGUAUGUAUGUAUGUAUGUAUGUAUGCAUGUACGUAUGUGUGUGUGUGUGUUUAUGCAUGUGUGUGUGUAUGUAUAUGCAUGCGUAUGACAUCAAUAUGCAACUGCAUUCAAGCGUCUUAUUUCAUGUUGUUGAUGUCAUUACUGAUGUAAUUCUGUGGUGACCUAGAAACACAGAAAGUUGACAAAACAGACGCAAGCACGCAUGCGCGAGCUCCCGCCACCGCACGCGCUCCCGCACACACGCUCGCGUAACGUACCGAAAUGAUGCACAUAUCAAAAUGAUGACACAUUAUACAGACACACACUCUUAUUAUACAAAUACAUGCAUACACACACACACACGCACACACAUGUAUGCACAACAUACUGAACGAUACAUAUAUAAAAAUGGCAUAAUACACACAUAUGCACACACACAAAUACA
rnacentral:lncRNA from 1 species